CACGAGACCCCAGGCUUGGAGAGCGGGAAAGACGCCGCUUGGCUGCGGUAAGACUCUCGGCUGUGACACUAGGACGAGGCGGCGGACCCCAGCCACGUGACCCUGCAGACGUGUGCUGCGCACGUGAGGCGCAAACAGGUGUUCCUGCUUAGCAAGCUGCCCCCGCCCCCCACCCCGGACCGGAAGUGGCUGACUCCUCACUCCCCGCCCCCCCGCCGCGUCCCAUUGGCUCAGCUCAGUCACGUGUCUGCCCCAACUGCAAGGGGUGCUGGGAAGGCGCUCUUGGCUGCCCGCGGGUUCGGCAGAGGCUCUCGCGGCCCGUAACACGGGGUGGCGCCCCCAGGCGGCAGCAAAACCGAGGCGCUGCUGCCUCCCUGAACGUGGGGAGAAGGCGGCAGGUGGGCAAGGGCCACAUAUGGCCACCCGGGAUGACCCUGGCCACGGGACUGUCUAGCGAAAUGCCCCAACCCACCUCCUGGAGUUACUCAAGGGGUAGAAAACGUCGUCACGAGUUGAGAAGCGCCUGCUGGAUUCCAGAUUUGGAGAAGCGGGUCCAUUUGAGAGAAAACAUUCGGGAAACAUCAGCAGAGGUGGCAGAAAGUGCCCAAAACAGGGCCCGGCACACAGUGAGAACUCCGUAAACAUCUGGCUCGUGAGUGAUUGUAUAUGCCUAGAGAGACAGCUCUGGACGGACAUAACCCCCAACUUUGGAGGUGGUCAUCUUGGAGACGGCUGGCGAUGUCAGUGUUUUCAGAUGUUCCCCACCGGGAAUGUAGCGCCACUGGCGCCCACACGAAAUUUCUCAGGGCAGUUUUGUUGCAGAGCCCUAACAGCUGCGUGGCAUCCUUCCUGGACCUCAGUUUGCUCAUCUGGAAAACGCGGAUGAUCCUAGCACCAUCCCCAGAACAAUCCCUUGAGAACCAACCCUCUGAGUCUGGAAUCUCGAAGAAAGAGUUAAAUCCACUCCGGGGCGGUGACAUUUGCAAUGCAUGAAGUUUAAACAUUUUCAAUAAAGAAAAACAAAUCCAGGCCAAA